GUAGGUGAACCUGCGGAAGGAUCAUUACCAAAUCCAAAACUCUUAUAAACCCACUUUGUGCACUGAGAAACCGAAUCUUUACCCUUUCUCACUUUCAAUCUUUGGAGAAAGAAAGAGAGAGAGAGAAACAAUAACAAAACACUCUGGUCUUUUCUUCACAGAAGAGAACAGUCUCCCUUUUGUUUUUUCGCUCUCUUUUCUUUCCUUCUUUCUUCGAGGAGAGAAAGGGUAAGGAGUUUUCUUCUUCUUU
rnacentral:misc_RNA from 1 species